rnacentral:rRNA from 2 species
UGUGAUACUUGUACCAACUGGAUGAGCAGCGAACGGGUGAGUAACGCGUGGGGAAUCUGCCUUUGAGCGGGGGACAACAUUUGGAAACGAAUGCUAAUACCGCAUAAAAACUUUAAACACAAGUUUUAAGUUUGAAAGAUGCAAUUGCAUCACUCAAAGAUGAUCCCGCGUUGUAUUAGCUAGUUGGUGAGGUAAAGGCUCACCAAGGCGAUGAUACAUAGCCGACCUGAGAGGGUGAUCGGCCACAUUGGGACUGAGACACGGCCCAAACUCCUACGGGAGGCAGCAGUAGGGAAUCUUCGGCAAUGGACGAAAGUCUGACCGAGCAACGCCGCGUGAGUGAAGAAGGUUUUCGGAUCGUAAAACUCUGUUGGUAGAGAAGAACGUUGGUGAGAGUGGAAAGCUCAUCAAGUGACGGUAACUACCCAGAAAGGGACGGCUAACUACGUGCCAGCAGCCGCGGUAAUACGUAGGUCCCGAGCGUUGUCCGGAUUUAUUGGGCGUAAAGCGAGCGCAGGUGGUUUAUUAAGUCUGGUGUAAAAGGCAGUGGCUCAACCAUUGUAUGCAUUGGAAACUGGUAGACUUGAGUGCAGGAGAGGAGAGUGGAAUUCCAUGUGUAGCGGUGAAAUGCGUAGAUAUAUGGAGGAACACCGGUGGCGAAAGCGGCUCUCUGGCCUGUAACUGACACUGAGGCUCGAAAGCGUGGGGAGCAAACAGGAUUAGAUACCCUGGUAGUCCACGCCGUAAACGAUGAGUGCUAGAUGUAGGGAGCUAUAAGUUCUCUGUAUCGCAGCUAACGCAAUAAGCACUCCGCCUGGGGAGUACGACCGCAAGGUUGAAACUCAAAGGAAUUGACGGGGCCCGCACAAGCGGUGGAGCAUGUGGUUUAAUUCGAAGCAACGCGAAAACCUUACCAGUCUUGACAUACUCGUGCUAUUCCUAGAGAUAGGAAGUUCCUUCGGACACGGAUACAGGUGGUGCAUGGUGUCGUCAGCUCGUGUCG